rnacentral:ncRNA from 5 species
AUAUAAUACAACCUGCUAAGU